AUUGAACGCUGGCGGCAGGCCUAACACAUGCAAGUCGAGCGAGCGGCGGACGGGUGAGUAAUAUCUGGGAAACUGCCUGCUGUAGGGGGAUAACUACUGGAAACGGUCGCUAAUACCGCAUACCAUCAGAUGUGCCCAGAUGGGAUUAGCUCGUAGGUGGGGUAACGGCUCACCUAGGCGAAGCUCCCUAGCUGGUCUGAGAGGAUGACCCGCCACACUGGAACUGGGACACGGUCCAGACUCCUACGGGAGGCAGCAGUGGGGAAUAUGGCACAAUGGGCGCAAGCCUGAUGCAGCCAUGCCGCGUGUGUGAAGAAGGCCUUCGGGUUGUAAAGCACUUUCAGCGGGGAGGCGUUACCCGCAGAAGAAGCACCGGCUAACUCCGUGCCAGCAGCCGCGGUAAUUC
rnacentral:rRNA from 1 species